CGUUCUGUAAGCCUGCGAAGGUGUGCUGUGAGGCAUGCUGGAGGUAUCAGAAGUGCGAAUGCUGACAUAAGUAACGAUAAAGCGGGUGAAAAGCCCGCUCGCCGGAAGACCAAGGGUUCCUGUCCAACGUUAAUCGGGGCAGGGUGAGUCGACCCCUAAGGCGAGGCCGAAAGGCGUAGUCGAUGGGAAACAGGUUAAUAUUCCUGUACUUGGUGUUACUGCGAAGGGGGGACGGAGAAGGCUAUGUUGGCCGGGCGACGGUUGUCCCGGUUUAAGCGUGUAGGCUGGUUUUCCAGGCAAAUCCGGAAAAUCAAGGCUGAGGCGUGAUGACGAGGCACUACGGUGCUGAAGCAACAAAUGCCCUGCUUCCAGGAAAAGCCUCUAAGCAUCAGGUAACAUCAAAUCGUACCCCAAACCGACACAGGUGGUCAGGUAGAGAAUACCAAGGCGCUUGAGAGAACUCGGGUGAAGGAACUAGGCAAAAUGGUGCCGUAACUUCGGGAGAAGGCACGCUGAUAUGUAGGUGAAGUCCCUCGCGGAUGGAGCUGAAAUCAGUCGAAGAUACCAGCUGGCUGCAACUGUUUAUUAAAAACACAGCAC
rnacentral:rRNA from 1 species